GCCCUUGUAGCUCAGUGGUAGAGCGACAGUUUCCUAAACUGUAGGUCGUGGGUUCAAGACCCGCCAGGGGCU